GGAGUCUAGCAUGUGCGCGAGUCAUUGGGACAUGACUAAACCUAAAGGCGCAAUGAAAGUGAAAGUCCGCCUUGCGCGGACUUAGGGAGGAUGGGCGGUCGUUACGGCUGCCGCCCCGCACUCCCGGGGCGUCUCGUUCUCAUUGCGAGAAGAGGCGCACCAAGAGCGUACACGCUGGGACCCGAAAGAUGGUGAACUAUGCCUGGUCAGGACGAAGUCAGGGGAAACCCUGAUGGAGGUCCGUAGCGAUUCUGACGUGCAAAUCGAUCGUCGGAACUGGGUAUAGGGGCGAAAGACUAAUCGAACCAUCUAGUAGCUGGUUCCCUCCGAAGUUUCCCUCAGGAUAGCUGGCGCUCGUUGCGUACGAGUUUCAUCCGGUAAAGCGAAUGAUUAGAGGCAUUGGGGUCGAAACGGCCUCAACCUAUUCUCAAACUUUAAAUGGGUGAGAUCUCCGGCUUGCUCGAACUCAUUUUUAAAAUGAAGCCGCGAGACUCGAAUCAGAGUGCCAAGUGGGCCAUUUUUGGUAAGCAGAACUGGCGCUGUGGGAUGAACCAAACGCCGAGUUAAAGCGCCUAAAUCGACGCUUAUGGGAUACCAUGAAAGGCGUUGGUAACUUAAGACAUCAGGACGGUGGCCAUGGAAGUC
rnacentral:rRNA from 1 species